UACGUAGGGGGCUAGCGUUGUCCGGAAUCAUUGGGCGUAAAGCGCGUGUAGGCGGCCCGGUAAGUCCGCUCUGAAAGUCCGGGGCUCAACCCCGGGAGGCGGGCGGAUACUGUCGGGCUAGAGUCCGGAAGAGGCGAGUGGAAUUCCUGGUGUAGCGGUGAAAUGCGCAGAUAUCAGGAGGAACACCGAUGGCGAAGGCAGCUCGCUGGGACGGUACUGACGCUGAGACGCGAAAGCGUGGGGAGCAAACAGG
rnacentral:rRNA from 1 species